rnacentral:rRNA from 1 species
CUCGUAGGCGGUUCGUCGCGUCCGGUGUGAAGGUCCAUCGCUUAACGGUGGAUCCGCGUCGGGUACGGGCGGGCUUGAGUGCGGUAGGGGAGACUGGAAUUCCCGGUGUAACGGUGGAAUGUGUAGAUAUCGGGAAGAACACCAAUGGCGAAGGCAGGUCUCUGGGCCGUCACUGACGCUGAGGAGCGAAAGCGUGGGGAGCGAACA